rnacentral:rRNA from 1 species
GACGAACGCUGGCGGCGUGCUUAACACAUGCAAGUCGAACGCUGAAGCUUGGUGCUUGCACUGGGUGGAUGAGUGGCGAACGGGUGAGUAAUACGUGAGUAACCUGCCCUUGACUCUGGGAUAAGCCUGGGAAACUGGGUCUAAUACUGGAUACGACAUGUCACCGCAUGGUGGUGUGUGGAAAGGGUUUUACUGGUUUUGGAUGGGCUCACGGCCUAUCAGCUUGUUGGUGGGGUAAUGGCUCACCAAGGCGACGACGGGUGGCCGCCCGGAGGGGGUGACCGGCCCCAGAGGCCUAGGGGAAGGGCCCGGACGCAAACGGGGGGAAGGGGGGGGAAAUUUACGCAACAGGGCGAAGGCGUGGAGGAGGGGCCCCGGGUGGGGGAAGGCGGCUUUGGGGGUAGAACCCUUUUUUAAGAAGGAAGGAGCGAAAGGAAGGGAACGGACAAGAAAACCCCGGCUAACUACGUG